GGUGAACGCUGGCGGCGUGCUUAAGACAUGCAAGUCGAACGCAGUCUUCGGACUGAGUGGCGCACGGGUGAGUAACACGUAACUGACCUACCCCCAAGUCGCGACUUACCAGCCGAAAGGAUGGCUCAUACGUAAUGUGAUGAUCCGCUGUGGCGGAUCAUUAAAGAGUUUAUCGCUUGGGGAUGGGGUUGCGUUCAAUGAGCUAGUUGGUAAGGAAAAGGCCUACCAAGGCAACGACGGAUAGCCGGCCUGAGAGGGUGGCCGGCCACAGGGGCACUGAGACACGGGUCGCACUCCUACGGGAGGCAGCAGUUAAGAAUCUUCCACAAUGGGCGCAAGCCUGAUGGAGCGACGCCGCGUGAGGGAUGAAGGUUAUCGGAUCGUAAACCUAUGAACCAACGACGAAAGACCCGACAAGAGAGAUGACGGAAGUUGGGAAAUAGCACCGGCUAACUCCGUGCCAGCAGCCGCCGUAACAC
rnacentral:rRNA from 1 species